GGAUAACCUGCCCUAUUGUCUGGAAUAACCUCGGGAAACUGAGAACAAGGCCGGAUAGCCCACAAUGCCUGGAACGGUUUGUGGGUGAAGAUAGGAUGGGUCUGCGGCGUAUCAGGUUGUAGGGGGUGUAAUGGACCUCCUAGCCAUCGACGCGUACGGGUGUUGGGAGACAUAGCCCGGAGAUGGAUUCUGAGACACGAAUCCAGACCCUACGGGGUGCAGCAGGCGCGAAAACUUCACACUGCAGGAAACUGUGAUGAGGGAACUCCAAGUGCUAUCACUAUGUGGUAGCUUUUCUUGACUAUUAAUCGGUCAUGGAAUAAGGGCUGGGAAAGACCGGUGCCAGCCGCCGCGGUAAUACCGGCAGCUCAAGUGGUCGCCGCUUUUAUUGGGCCUAAAACGUCCGUAGCCUGUUUGGUAAAUCUGUGGGCAAAUCAACCAGCUUAACUGGUUGAAUUCUGCAGAGACUGCCAGACUAGGGACCGGGAGAGGUGUGGGGUACUCUAGGGGUAGGGGUAAAAUCCUGUCAUCCUUAGAGGACCACCAGUUGCGAAGGCGCCACACUGGAACGGAUCCGACGGUCAGGGACGAAGCCUAGGGGCACGAACCGGAUUAGAUACCCGGGUAGUCCUAGGUGUAAACGCUGUGAACUUGGUGUCGGGGAUCCGUAAUGGGUCCUCGGUGCCGGAGUAAAGAUGUUAAGUUCACUGCCUGGGGAGUACGGUCGCAAGGCUGAAACUU
rnacentral:rRNA from 1 species